rnacentral:piRNA from 1 species
UGCAAGAGCUAGCUUUAUUCAGACUAAC